rnacentral:rRNA from 1 species
GAGUUUGAUCCUGGCUCAGGAUGAACGCUGGCGGCGUGCUUAGCACAUGCAAGUCGAACGGGAAUGCCACGCUGAUGCGAUUUCGGUCAAAUCAUGUGGCAUUCGAGUGGCGGACGGGUGAGUAACGCGUGGGUAACCUGCCUUACACAGGGGGAUAACACCUGGAAACAGGUGCUAAUACCGCAUAAGCGCACAGGGCCGCAUGGCCCGGUGUGAAAAACUCCGGUGGUGUAAGAUGGACCCGCGUCUGAUUAGCUUGUUGGCGGGGUAGGGGCCCACCAAGGCGACGAUCAGUAGCCGGCCUGAGAGGGUGGACGGCCACAUUGGGACUGAGACACGGCCCAAACUCCUACGGGAGGCAGCAGUGGGGGAUAUUGGACAAUGGGGGAAACCCUGAUCCAGCGACGCCGCGUGAGUGAAGAAGUAUUUCGGUAUGUAAAGCUCUGUCAGCAGGGAAGAAAGAAAUGACGGUACCUGACCAAGAA